rnacentral:rRNA from 1 species
GUCCUUUUGUGUAUAAUUUAAGGUUUAACCUGCCCACUGAAAUUUUAAAUGGCCGUGGUAUUUUGACCGUGCUAAGGUAGCAUAAUCAUUAGUUUUUUAAUUAAAAACUGGAAUGAAAGGUUGGAUAAGAAAAUGACUGUCUCUACUAAAUUUUAUUAGAAUUUUAUUUUUAAGUUAAAAAGCUUAAAUAAAAUUAAAAGACGAGAAGACCCUAUAGAGUUUAAUUAUUUAAUAAAAAUAAUAUUUUAGUAUUUAUUUAUUAAUUAUAUUAAAUAAUUUAAUUGGGGUGAUUGAAAAAUUUAAAUAACUUUUUUUAUUUUAAAACAUAAAUUAAUGAAUAAAUGAUCCAAUAUUUUUGAUUAUAAGAUAAAAUUACCUUAGGGAUAACAGCGUAAUUUUUUUUUAGAGUUCGUAUUAAAAAAAAAGAUUGCGACCUCGAUGUUGGAUUAAAAUAAAUUUUUGGUGUAGAAGCUGAAAUAUUAGGUCUGUUCGACCUUUGAAAUUUUAC